GGGGGCGAAACGGUUUCGACGGGGAUAGUUGAAGCUGUAGAAGCGUGUCGAGGUUCCUAUCGGCCUCGUUAAACAGGUAGGAAAAAAAUAAUCGCAGACAACUACGAUUACGCUUUAGCCGCGUAAGACGGCUAACGUCCUCCCGGUUUCUGUCUGUCGAAUCGGAUGAGGGCGUCAUAAAGGCAGGCUAGCCGAGCUCUUUUUCCUGCGGGGAGUCAGGCGAAACUCAACUCAGGAUAGUAUCUGAUAGAUCCUGCCUCUGGGAGUUUUCAGAUGCGAAUACUAAAACAGGGGAUACACACGUAGAAACUACAGUGGAAUAUUUUCGGACGCGGGUUCGACUCCCGCCGCCUCCACCA
rnacentral:tmRNA from 1 species